rnacentral:hammerhead_ribozyme from 1 species
AUCAAGAUGAAGAGUCCCAAACAGGACGAAAUGCGCACUGUUCUAGAU